AUACGUAGGUGGCAAGCGUUAUCCGGAUUUAUUGGGCGUAAAGGGUGCGCAGGCGGACUGUUUAGUCUGAGGUGAAAGCGUUGAGCUCGACUCAAUUAAGCCUCAGAUACUGGCAGACUAGAGUGCAGAAGAGGGUUAUGGAAUUCCAUGUGUAGCGGUAAAAUGCGUAGAUAUAUGGAGGAACACCGGCGGCGAAGGCGGUAACCUGGUCUGUUACUGACGCUCAGGCACGAAAGCGUGGGGAGCAAAUAGGACUAGAUACCCUAGUAGUCCACGCCCUAAACGAUGAUUACUAAAUGUUGGGGAAACUCAGUGUUGUAGCUAACGCAAUAAGUAAUCCGCCUGGGGAGUAUGCACGCAAGUGUGAAACUCAAAGGAAUUGACGGGG
rnacentral:rRNA from 1 species